AGUGCCGGUUCUCAGAUGUUAUAGGGCGGCGGAGAUGUCGAAGCCUUGGGGAAAACCCGGCGCAUGGGCCGCGGAAUCCGAGCGAGAGGAGGCGGAGGAGCGGGAGCAAGCGGCGGCCGCAGCCGCCCACGGCGGCGAUUCGCUCAGCUUCCCGAGCCUGAAGGAAGCCGCCACCACCAAGCCGAAGAAGAAGAAUAAGACUAGCUUGCAAGAGUUCAUGAUGCAGACCGCCGUGGGCAGCGGUGCCGGAAGGACAGGCUCAACGUUAGGGUUGACGCGGGACGAGAUGCUCAUGCUUCCCACAGGCCCCAAGGAACGCUCCGCAGAGGAAAUGCAGUACGGACGGUUGGGUGGAGGGUUCUCGAACUACGGGCGGUCCGGCAGCUUACCCGGUCGAUCCAUGCGCGACCGUGACGGCGACGGUCGUGGAUCGUAUGGCGGAUUUGAUGACGAUCGUAGGGCUCCGCCAACUUCUAGGGCUUCGGAUUUCGAGCCUUCUAGGGCAGACGAGGUCGAUAAUUGGGCUGCGGCGAAGAAACCUCUACCGUCUUUCGAUUCAGGGCGAACCAGUCGGUACGGCUCCCUAGGCAUGUCAAAAGCCGAUGAGGUUGAUAAUUGGGGAGCAUCCAAGAAGCCGAUGCCGACUAGAUCUUCGAAUUUCGGUCCAAGUUUCCGCGAUUCAGGGCCCGAACCAGAUCGGUGGACAAGAGGAGGGUUUCGCGAUGCGGAUCGUGAACGUGAACGCCCUCGACUGGUACUGGAUCCCCGGCGGGCCGACGGGCCUGUGGUUGAGCCAGUGAGAACCAAUAAGCCAAACCCUUUUGGAGCUGCGCGGCCAAGGGAAGAGGUUUUGGCGGAGAAGGGUUUAGACUGGAAGAAACUGGAUUCCGAAAUUGAGGCGAAGAAAUCUAGUAGGCCUACUAGUUCGCAGUCUAGCAGGCCCUCCAGUGCGCAGUCGAGUAGGUCAGAAGGCCCGGCAUUGCAGGCAGUCGAAGGGGUGGCGAAGCCGAGGCCGAAGGCGAAUCCUUUUGGGGAUGCAAAACCUAGGGAGGUUUUGCUUGAGGAGAAGGGUAUGGAUUGGAGGAAAAUGGAUUUGGAAUUGGAGCAUAGAGCAGUUGACAGGCCUGAGACAGAGGCAGAGAAGAAUUUGAAAGAAGAAAUAGACCAUCUAAAGAAGGAACUUGAGAAAGAAGCAGCUUCAAAUGCUAACAGAGAAUCCGGGGAAGGGUCUAGCAGAGACCAAACAAGUAUGCUGCAAGAUCUAAUAAGCAGUAAAGAAAGGGACUUGGAACUGUUGGUCCUGGAAUUGGACGACAAAGUCCGGUUUGGUCCGAAAGCAAUUGAAAGGCCUGGUUCUGGAGCAGGCAGGGUUUCUGGCUUUCCUGAUAGGCCACCUUCUCAAUCUGGGUCAGUAGAAGAGUCCAGAAGUGUUGAAUUCAUGGAGAGGCCUCAAUCUCGUGGUACUGGAGAUACAUGGAUGAGGCAGGCCGAUGAUAGAAGGGCUUUCCAAGGUGGCAGGGAAAGAGGAUUUCUGGGCAACAGGGAAAUGGACAGAAAUGGGAUUUGAGUCUGCUCUGGAAGCUAAGCUUGAUGUGAGGGUUGUACCUAGUCUAUGACCUUUUGCCUUGGCCCUUCGGGUGUCGAAAAAUAGAUUCGAGGAAGUUCUUUAGCUAUGAUGCCAAGGUCGAGGGAGAGGUGGUGAGCUUCAGUUGCGGGUGGAUUUUGCAGUUCUCUCUCAUACAUCUUACCUUUGCUGUUAGAAAGGAAUAAUAUUUUCUAGUCAUCUUUCUUUCUUUCUUUCUUUCUUUUUUUAAUUUAUUUUCGUCUUGAUUUUGCCGAGGAAGGGAGCCAGGAUCGUUGGGUACUGGUACGUGGAACUCUUGCAUUGAUCUAUUGUUACAACCUUGUAAAAUUACAGUAUGUUUUUUGGUUGACUUAUCUGAAGUCUUGUCAAACUUGUUUUCGUUAUUGUUCUGAGACUCCUAAUUGGACUCCUAAUUGUAAUAUACAUUUUUUUGACUUA